UACGUAGGGUGCAAGCGUUGUCCGGAAUUAUUGGGCGUAAAGAGCUCGUAGGUGGCCUGUCGCGUCGGCUGUGAAAACUCGGGGCUUAACCCCGAGCCUGCUUCCGAUACGGGCAGACUAGAGGUAUGCAGGGGAGAACGGAAUUCCUGGUGUAGCGGUGAAAUGCGCAGAUAUCAGGAGGAACACCGGUGGCGAAGGCGGUUCUCUGGGCAUUACCUGACGCUGAGGAGCGAAAGUGUGGGGAGCGAACAGG
rnacentral:rRNA from 1 species